AGGGCUGAGGCGACGUCCUAAAAUCAUGAAAAUGGAAUCGUGGGCUCGUGGCAACUAACCGUUGAUCUUUAAUUUCCAGAUCGUGGAUUGGAGGCCGUUCGGGUGGUCGCACGAGAGUUCGGGCCGAACCGGGUCACGGGUGCUGCGGGAGGCCAAUUGCAAGUGACUACGAGCAAUCGAAGUGCGAAUUGAGGUGGGUUGUGUUUACCGAAGCGACUAGGUUGCUUGUAUGUCUAAAAUGAGUGUUUAUCAUUAAUGCAUAUUAUGGUAGCUAGUGGUAGAAUGUAUAAAUACAUGAAAUGAAUACUAUGUGGGCUACCAAAUAGUGCAUGAUAACAUAGUAUGAAUAAUGCUAGUGGAAAGCAUAAAGUAAAUGACAUAUGCAUGUUGACAUUAUAGGAACAUGCUAGUUGAUAUAUGUAGAGACAUGUUGGAAUGCAUGCUAAAUGAAAUGCAUAUUGGUAUAAAAUAAGAAUGCUCAAAGAAUACAUGAUGAACAUGUUAUAGAAACGUUAGUGGGUGCAAGUUGACAUAUAGAGAACUAUGUUAAAUGACAUGUGCAUGUGGACAUAUAUAUACAUAUAGAUCGAGUGGCAUUGAACCUAGUGUCAAGGACAUAGGUUGAACAAGUGUGGCAUGU
rnacentral:lncRNA from 1 species